UCCGGUUUGGCACCGGCAGUCUCCCUAGAGUUCCCGGCAUUACCCGCUGGCAACUAAGGACAGGGGUUGCGCUCGUUGCGCCACUUAAGGCAACACCUCACGGCACGAGCUGACGACAGCCAUGCACCACCUGUGCAGGCUCCGAAGAGCGUCGUCUUUCAACGAUUUCACCCUGCAUGUCAAACCCAGGUAAGGUGGGGAUGACGUAGACCUUGGACC
rnacentral:misc_RNA from 1 species